rnacentral:misc_RNA from 1 species
AACAUUUAGCAACGGAUCACUUGGCUCUCGCAUCGAUGAAGAACGCAGCGAAAUGCGAUAAGUUAUGUGAAUUGCAGAAUUCAGUGAAACAUCGAAUCUUUGAACGCACCUUGCGCCCUCUGGCUAUUCCAGAGGGCAUGCCUGUUUGAGUAUCAUGAACACCUCAACUCUCAUGGUUUUUCCGUGAUGAGCUUGGACUUUGGAGGUCUUGCUGGCCUGUGGGUCGGCUCCUCUCAAAUGAAUCAGCUUGCCAGUGUUUGGUGGCAUCACGGGUGUGAUAACUAUCUACGCUUGUGGUUUUCCACCAGGUAACCUUCAGUGAUGGAGGUUCGCUGGAGCUCAUAAAUGUCUCUCCUCAGCGAGGACGGCUUCUCGAAUGUUUGAUCUCAAAUCAGGUAGGGCUACCCGCUGAACUUAAGCAUAUCAAUAAGCGGAGGCU